CACUGCAUUUUCCAUCAACAGAGAGGAUGAGACUGGAUGUCCUUGAAACUUUCUUCCAGCUCGGAAAAUUCUGAUUAUAUGUCACAGUUUUUUUCUUCUUGGAUUAUCAACUUCUUGAGACAGGACUGUUCUGGACAAGAGCAAAUGACAAAUGAGAUAGUCAUGGACCUGCUGUGAUAAACCAUACAUUCUGGUGGGACAGAGAAACAGUAAGAAAAAAAAAAAAAACUCCACUAAGAAAAUAAAAUGUCCAUGAAGAAAAUGAAAUGGUGCAUGGGGAUAGAAAGAAGAGAGGUGGAAAGGGAACUGGAUAAGAACAGAUGGUCACAGAAUCCCCUGUGAAGACAACAUUUGAACUGAGACCGAAAUGGCCAGAAGAACCAGCCAUCUGCUACUAUUCAGAGAUCAACACCAGCCACUCGGUUGGCCGAACCUAGAAAAUGAGAGUUGUUCCUGAUUUUUUCCUUUUCCUUCCUAUCUCACAUCCAAACUCAACAAGUGGAUGACUUGACUCCUGCCAGCAUCUUCCCUUCUUCAUUAAAUGAACCCAACAAUGGCAUCCAGGGAAAAGUCGAAGAUAAUAAAGAUUAAUUACACUGAGAAUAGUGUCUUUCUUUCAAGUCUCCACACAACAUAUUGCUUUCAGCUUCCUAGAACUACCUACACUAACAAGGUUUCCAGUACUAUUCUGGCAAAUCAUAGACACUGGUUGCACUUUGGAAUUAUCUGGGAAACUUUAAAAUAUGGCUGAUUGGGUCUCAUCCCUGUAGAUUCUGCUUUAAUUGGCCUGAGGUGCAUCCUGCCUGC